UCGAACGAUGAUGCCCAGCUUGCUGGGUGGAUUAGUGGCGAACGGGUGAGUAACACGUGAGUAACCUGCCCCUGACUCUGGGAUAAGCGUUGGAAACGACGUCUAAUACUGGAUAUGACUGCCGGCCGCAUGGUCUGGUGGUGGAAAGAUUUUUUGGUUGGGGAUGGACUCGCGGCCUAUCAGCUUGUUGGUGAGGUAAUGGCUCACCAAGGCGACGACGGGUAGCCGGCCUGAGAGGGUGACCGGCCACACUGGGACUGAGACACGGCCCAGACUCCUACGGGAGGCAGCAGUGGGGAAUAUUGCACAAUGGGCGAAAGCCUGAUGCAGCAACGCCGCGUGAGGGAUGACGGCCUUCGGGUUGUAAACCUCUUUUAGUAGGGAAGAAGCGUAAGUGACGGUACCUGCAGAAAAAGCACCGGCUAACUACGUGCCAGCAGCCGCGGUAAUACGUAGGGUGCAAGCGUUGUCCGGAAUUAUUGGGCGUAAAGAGCUCGUAGGCGGUUUGUCGCGUCUGCUGUGAAAUCCCGAGGCUCAACCUCGGGCUUGCAGUGGGUACGGGCAGACUAGAGUGCGGUAGGGGAGAUUGGAAUUCCUGGUGUAGCGGUGGAAUGCGCAGAUAUCAGGAGGAACACCGAUGGCGAAGGCAGAUCUCUGGGCCGUAACUGACGCUGAGGAGCGAAAGCGUGGGGAGCGAACAGGAUUAGAUACCCUGGUAGUCCACGCCGUAAACGUUGGGCGCUAGAUGUAGGGACCUUUCCACGGUUUCUGUGUCGUAGCUAACGCAUUAAGCGCCCCGCCUGGGGAGUACGGCCGCAAGGCUAAAACUCAAAGGAAUUGACGGGGGCCCGCACAAGCGGCGGAGCAUGCGGAUUAAUUCGAUGCAACGCGAAGAACCUUACCAAGGCUUGACAUACACCGGAAACGGCCAGAGAUGGUUGCCCCCUUGUGGUCGGUGUACAGGUGGUGCAUGGUUGUCGUCAGCUCGUGUCGUGAGAUGUUGGGUUAAGUCCCGCAACGAGCGCAACCCUCGUUCUAUGUUGCCAGCGCGUUAUGGCGGGGACUCAUAGGAGACUGCCGGGGUCAACUCGGAGGAAGGUGGGGAUGACGUCAAAUCAUCAUGCCCCUUAUGUCUUGGGCUUCACGCAUGCUACAAUGGCCGGUACAAAGGGCUGCGAUACCGUAAGGUGGAGCGAAUCCCAAAAAGCCGGUCUCAGUUCGGAUUGAGGUCUGCAACUCGACCUCAUGAAGUCGGAGUCGCUAGUAAUCGCAGAUCAGCAACGCUGCGGUGAAUACGUUCCCGGGCCUUGUACACACCGCCCGUCAAGUCAUGAAAGUCGGUAACACCCGAAGCCGGUGGCCUAACC
rnacentral:rRNA from 1 species